GUCCGAGCGGCUCACCCGGGGCUGCCGGGGCCCUGGGGAGGGUGGUUGCUCCCACAGAGGAGGCGCUGCGGUUCAAUGAUACAAGUUUGGGGUUCAGUCGCUGGGAUGGCCGCGGCGCAGGGAACGAGUGCAUAGGGGCAGAAGGGAGUGCUGGUUCUCAGGGACAUCGCUCCUGGAUCACAGAGUAGAUGGGCUUUUCCCUGGCUUCAAUGCAAGCAGAGCUGAGUGCUGCUGAAAUCCAGAGACCUCCUUCUCGUGUGCAGCCUGUUCUCUCAUAUCCUCGCGAUUUAUUUGGCUCGUGAAGUUCUAAAAGACUUCAUUAAUGACCUGAAUUUGUUGUGCCUAUGGAAAUUGGCAAAUGUAUUUUAGCUACUAGCUAAAUGCUAGUAGCAGUGCUUUAAAUUGUAUCUUCUGAAUGUGCUUGACAGUUUAAUUUUAAUUUAAUAUAGCGGUUAAUUUGAAAACACUAAACAAGUUCUGGGAAAUGGGCUUAGAGAAUUAACUCAAACCCAAGUGUAAACCCUGUUGCUCUAGUCUGAUAGUGUUGCUAAUUACUGACUUUUCUCUUAUUUAAAAUAAUGUAUAUUUAGCUGCUUUUGUGUGUUGUGUCAAAGUCUUGUGGGACUGGGUUUGGCCACACUAAAAUGAGUUUUGGAAGUGGCAUGUCCUGUGUUACACUCAGCCUUUCUGUUUCUGCGUAGGUUAAUCUUGCUUUGUGCAGAUCUGUGACAAAACAGCGAGGAAUGCUAAUCUGCCAAAAACUAUUUGGGGUUCAAAUUAGAAAUCCACCCUCAAUUAAUCCCUUGGAUAUCUACAGACCUGGCACCUCUGAGCCAUGUCUCCAGCCAGAAUGAAAAAGACCAUUUUUUCCAAGCCAACUACACCAAAACUGUGGAGCAGGAGCUCUCAGUAAGGUGCUAAACUGGAAUAUGCUGGGUGAGGGCUUGGCUGUGCUGCACUGGCUGUAGGACCAGCAGUGAUGUUUGAGCACCCAGGGCUUUGCCAGACCUUAGCUUGGUGUUGGCUCUUCACCCUCUCUGCUGUUUCAUGGGCCUUUUCCAUGGUGUAAUUCCACCUUCGCAAAUAAAGCAUUUGGAACUAUUGAGUCAGGUGGAUGUACUGGUGGCAACCCUAAGCAGUUUAGAUAGCUAAAAUGAUGGCUAGUUGUAUAAUUUUAAAUUAAACUCUUGUUCGUCUAAAUGUGACCGUGUUAUUUAUACGUCAAUGUUUGCUGCCAAUUGUUGCACAGUGUACAGUAUCUUUCAUUGCAUCCUGUCCUUAUUGGUGAUCCUUUUUGAUGCUAACUACCCCCUUACAUUAUUUCAGACCAUGAGCAAUAAGGUGAUAAUAAAGAUUUGCACAGAUAAACUCCCUCACAUGUUCCUUCUGAGAGGAUGAAAAAAAUGUGGCAGGAUUUCCAUUUGAAUUAACGCAUGAAUGAGAGAGAAAUUAAAGGAAGUUCCUUAGUACAGCCCUGAUGCCUGUAGUAUUUAGAGGUCUUAGAGCUUCCUGAGACACAGCUGUGAGAUUCAAACACCCUGCACUUUUCCUGGUCUUGCCUUGGUUUGAAGGGCUGACAGGAGCGGGCAGAACGAUCCCACCCUCAGACUGGGGAGGGUCAGCAAUGUGGUUCCCUGAGGAGCUGUGGGAGCCGCGCUUACCCCGAGGGAAGGUCAGCAAAUGUGUAGGGGAAGAGCACAAUAGAUUCUGGAGCUGAGAAGAAGCCUUCUGUGCUGUGGCUGUUGUGCUGUCACAGCAGUGUUUACAGUGUCAUGCUGUGGUAGUGUUCUGUGGACACUCAUCAACCAGUGCUUGCCAGGCUCAGUAAAUUCUCUGGAAAAGCCUCUGAGGUCCUGAAAGGCUUGUGUCAGGGGACCCAAGCACUCUCCUGCCCUGUGGGAAUUGGCCUGGCUGCUGUUGUCAGCCUGUGCCACUCAGGUACUGGUGCCUCUGAAGCUGCCCAGGUUAUACCGGGGUCUUCUGGGUGAAACGGGAAAAAGAGAGAGAAGCACAAAGGAAUAUAAUUAUUUUUAGUCCUUAUGUUGCUGAAGUGGGAGGCUCUGGCCCUCCAGUUAUCCAGGGUGAUACCUUUUUUUUGCUGUGGUUCCUCUCAUUCCUUAAUACCCUCCUGUAGCUCUUUCAGACCAGGUAGCAUGUACUGCUGCCAACACAGAGAUGCAUCGACAAACACAUCCCGUGCAGCCACAGACAGGGGAACAAUGAAUGCUGGAUCUGGCAGAAACACUCAUUAUGACAGGUUUUUAAUUAGUAGGUCUCACUGCUGGGCUGUUGUCUGUGGUUCUGCCUUGUUCCUCCACUUUCCAGGGAAGGGGAGAGGUUUCGUGAGGUGGGAAAUGCUGCAGGCUGCAGUGGGUGCUCUGUUCAGACCUAAUUGUGGAAGGAAUUAUCUAGCAGACACCACUGAAAGAAAGGGAUGGGGUCUCUUGCUUAGAACAGAUAGAAGUUGCAGUUUGCUGGAGGACAGAGGCAGGACAGCAUGUUUUGGCUCAGUUGUAGCCUGAAUGUUGGUGGCCGUGGUGGGAUGCCAGCACCGGGGUGGAUGUACCUAUGGUGUGACUUAAGCUGUUCUUUUGUUGUGAGCAACUUUUAUUUUUUCUGGAGUUUCCUUGGUAGUGCAGAAACUGAAAUUACCUAACUAAGAACUUACAGUUGCUCUUCCAGGACAGCAAAAACAAAGUUGUUCUUGGAAGCCAGGAGCGCUGCUGUUCUGUAGUAUGGCCGCAUAGAAUUUUAUCACCUUGUCCCUGCCAUCCUCACAUGUGGUUCUGUUUUUAGGCUGCAGAAGAAAACCUGGAUCCCAAAUUUCCAUUUCCACAGGGCAGAAGGUGAUACAGCUUGGAAUAUAUGGGCUUGUCAUUUCCCCAGGGUUAUUUCUCCUUUCUUGUUAAUCCAUGACCUCAAAGUCAAACUUUGUAUUAAGUAAUGUAAAAGAAGUGACAGUUGCAGAGUGUCUGGUGAUUGGCUUUAUCUCCUGUACUGCAAGGAGUUAAUCUGGAUGGUUAGGCAUUUGCACCAGGCAUUGAUACUGCUUUGAGGGAAGGAUUUUUGUGCUUGUCAUUAAACCAUUAGAACAGUACAAAAUUGAGAAGGAAGAGAGCUUUUGGGUUUUCUGAGUCCUCCACAGUGCAAGAUUAUUCCCUGUGGUAUUCUCCAAUGCUUUGUCCUAGCUACUCUGAAAUUACCUAGGCUAGAGAGACAGACUAUUAGUAGACAUCUGAAUUUCAGCUAAAGAAUGAGGUAAGCUGAAUGCUUUGAAACAUUGAAAUUUAAAAAAUCACAAGUCAGUCUUAAAACACAGAAGCACCCCAAUGACAGUGGAUAACCCAGCAUUUUCUGGGUGGUGUAGUCUAUUUUAAAGGGUGGAACUGCUGCCAGUUUUGCUGUUCCCACUGUGUCAGAGCCAGGACAUCCUUGGACCUAUCCCCUAGAAAAGCAGAGCAUCCCCAAGCAUCACUGCAACUCUACAGCAAAGAGAUUUAUAACUGUGAUAGAAUUGGCGUGAUUUUGCUUACUAAUCAUGAUUGCCACUGACUUUUUAUGUGCGCUGGAGAGUCUUGCCUUCAAUGUUAUGGUGGAGACAAGCUAACACACAGGAGAAUUGUCAGUUUUUGUUUCUGCACUUUAUUGACUCACUGUCUUUGAAAUGCAGCUGCAGAUGAGAAAGCAUGUUAUUCCAAAGAACAGUUUUGACUGGCCAAGUGGAUCAGGAUUGGCAGAGAGGUGAUUUUGCAGUCUGCAUGAACGUCUGCCUCUCAUUUGGUUGUCAGAUGACAGAGAGAAAUGCAGAAGUUGCAGAAUGAGCAACUGCUCCCUAAAAUAAAUCAAUUCCUGUGUCUGCUGAGGGUCUCAGGGAUGGGGGUUGAGCUGGUGCCUGGAUUACAAAUGAGCCUUUGCAGCAGGGCACAGCUCCUUUGGCCCAGCACCAUCUUUAGGGGGGUCAGUAGCUCCGGGGCGGGCAGCAGUCGCAGCUGCCUGAGCCCAGAUUGGAGUGGUGGUGGCUGGCAGAAGCAGGGUUGGGGAAAGGGAUGGGUUAACUGCUUGCCUUUCCUCCAAUGGACCUGGGAGAGAUGAUUCCAUUGUUAUUUCUGGGAUGAAAUAAAGCCAGUCACAAGGCUGCUCCUGUAUUCCAGACUCCUAAGCAGAGUAGCUUUGAUUGGGAAUGAAUUUGAGGAGAGGUCAAAAUGGGGACAGAAGUUGAGUAGGGUGAAGGGAUGGUGUACAAAAUUCCCCGAGUGCGUGUGUGGGCUGGGAACAGUGUGUAGGAGGAUGAUUUGGCCUGUGGGAGCUCAGAGAGCUGCAAAAGGCAAGUUUUGGGGUCUGAUUUUUUCCUGUUCAGAAGAGCAGAAAUCUGUGCCUUCAUGUAAAAGCAGAAUUACACCCAGGAAGGUUUCUGCUUACAGCCACAGUUAUUUCCAAAAUCUUUGCUAGUUGACUGGGUCAAAAGAGGCAUCUGGACUGGACACAGAGGUUCCACUUUGCUCUAAGAAGUGGUACCCCACAAAACCAGGGGCAGUUUCGCACAGGCAGGAGAGCCCUGGUGCCCAUUAUUCUUAAUACCUGCAGAAAUUUAGGUUAGGACUAAGGUUUUGAUUCAUUUGAAUCUGUUUCAGCCCAGAAGCUGAAUUCUCACGUGUAGCCCCGAGCUCCCCAGCUGUGCACAAAGGAAGGGCAGGACAUGGGGCUGCCCUCCUCUGCUCUGCUCUGCUCCCUCCAGCUGUUUGUCGUUCUGUGCAUAACUCACCUGCAGUCCUUGACUUUUUAAAUGGCAAAAAGCAAGCACAAUGCACUGGUUCCCUGUCCUUAUACUGGCAUUCUUGUCUGUCUGGGUGCCACCUUGCAGCAAUUCCUGUGUGCAGGGAGGAUGAAAGCAGGUGUGUUUAUUGACUUGUGCUGUUAAUUGUUGCUGUGCCUGAGCAGUUCCUGGCAGGAUGCUGCGUGGCUUUCACCCAGCAGUUUGCAGCUUGCUCUGGUGGCCGUGGCCAGGCUGCUGGCUGCACGUCCCUCUGCGUGAAGCCCAGAACAGGAAAGCCAGACUCUGUCAGGAAAAGAACCAACCGGGAGAGAAGCAAAAUAAAAAAUUAUAAAACCACAGAGAUGGGUUUUAAAUCUGGCUGUUGGCUUCUCAGCCCACAAAUGACUUCUGUCACCAUAAUAAAAGGCAUGCUAUUGCUAACUUUUUCAGACUGGUGUCUGAAAAAUCAGUUCACAGAAAUUCUUGCUGACAGUUGUGGAUGCUAGGUCACAGCUCUGUGGUGUGCAUUUUACAGCUUAACGCAGCAAACCAAGGACAGGAUUACCUUCAGAUUGCUCUUGGGAAAGACUUAAGGAAGCUAAAGUGGGCCAGCCAGGGGGAGGGAAUGCAGGUAAGGUCUGUAGCAUCCCAGCUUGUUUUGCUUAACAGGGUGAUUGGAAAUUCCCCAUGAAAAAUAACGAACCUGUAUUCCAUCAUCUGUUUUAAACCAGGAAAGUGGUUGCAAAGAUAAAAGGUUGAAAAGUUUCUAUAUUCUUUACAGAUCAGUUCUUUGUGGAAAUGCAAUUCCUAUGUUUUAAGCUUUUUGGCAAAAAAUUAAAAUAUGACCAUCAAGUAGCAUGCAGAUCUGGUCCACCUAAAAUUUCACAUUGGGGGUGGAUUUUUAAUGACUGAACUGUUUUUUGUCCAGCUCUGGACCCUUCCUCCUUGAGAACGUUUUUGGUCAAGUAGGUCAGUGCAGUGUGGCCCCAGCCAUCCAUAGAGGUUGUGCCCAGUGUGGCAAGUGUGGUGCAGAAGCAAGAGGCACCGGCCACAUCGUGCAGGCACAUCUGCUCUUAUCAGCCCUGUCCAGUGCCCCAGCACGUGCCUGUUGCUGUGCACAAGCCAGAUCAAAGAGCUGGUGCAGGCAGAUAACCCAGAGCCAGGCAAGACAAGUUUGCAGCCAGGCUGAGCUCUGUGUCUGGCAGCACCCAGGGCAGUGCAGGAGAGUAGGGCGUGUUGGGAGUGGGCAGUGGACAGGCAGGGAUGCUGCAGGAGGCAGCACACAUGGGGCAGCACACAACUUCUGUCCUGUCCACUUUUCUAGUGGGGCAUCCCUCAGCCUUCCUCUGUCCAUGGCUCCUAACAGAGAUGUGCUUUCCCUGUGGAAAUACAUCUGGGGUUUCUUUUGGCUUCUUCAGUGGCUGGCUUUCCAACUAGCGGAUCACUUUGCACCCUCUGCAGAAAUGUUACAAUUGUUUAUUGAAUGAGAGAUUAUUCAUUAGUGGUGGGAAAAAAUAACGGUGAAAGUUGAAAUUAUAAAAAUCCAGACUUCACUGGCCCAAUGAAGGACACCAGCAAGGAUUUGCCCACCAAAACCUGUCUGAGAACAGAGGGACCUGGUGGCAGAGGUAAAGUGCACACUUGCCCUGGGACUCGCAUGUUGCAAGUCCUAUGGUGACCUGAAAGAACGGUGAGGCCCUGGCAUAAGUUGCCCAGAGCAGCUGGGGCUGCCCCUUGGAUUCCUGGAUCCAAGACCAGGUGGACAGGGCUUGGAGCAACCAAGUGGAGGGCGUCUCUGCCCAUGGAAGGGGAUGGAAUGGCAUGAGCUUUAAGGGUCCUUCCAACCCAAACCAUUCUGUGAUUCCAUGAAAGCAAUGCUGCCCAAAAUGUGAUGGAUGUGGGAGUCUCAGCACCUGAACCCUUGCAUGUUGUAAAUUACAUGUGCCGAGAAAUCAGUUUUAUCUACUAAACAGAACACUGAAUAAAAUAAAGGAAGUGGGUAGGAGUGAGCCUGAGGUAUCUGCUAUAACAAGGGUAGGAGCAGAGAGCUUAUUUGAGUAUGGAUUUGUGAACACAGAAAUAAACUCUCUUCAAAUACCUUUUUACUCUCCUUCUUAAUUGCAUGGAAGUUACAUAUUAAUGGGAGAACUGGCUUUUCUAAAAAGGUGUUUUUACAAAUAUUUAAUGGUGGCCUGUAAGAAUCAUCAGAUAUUGGGUUCCCUCUAUCACACUUUAAAAAUAGUUUGAUCAAUAGAAACAUGGAAUGUUUUAUGGGGAAUAUUUUCAUUCAGAAAUGCUGAUAUGAGGCAGGUGCCAGAACCGCAUAUUAAUAAGGUGCAUUUCUUUUUUCAGGUAACGUGCUGUGACGGAUGUGUUCCUUGGGUACCUGCAAAUAUUACCCUGUGCAGUUGUCCAGAUGUUCCUCUCUGUGACUGACCCAGAGGAACAGUCCUGUGGCUGCUGCUCAGUUCUUGCAGGUCUCCAUCAGGAUUUGGGGGGUGAAGCUCCCGGAGCAGUGGUGGCUGAGCCUGACGCUGCCUCCCUGCAGUGAUGGGAGUGCAGGGGGCUGUGCUUUGGUGCAUGUGCUCUGUGCCACGCCUGAGCCGCCAAAGCUUCCCCCCAGGGAACAAUUUCAGAGAGCCAUACCUGUGUGCUGGAAGGCAGACAGGUCUCUAAGAGCUUUCCCACAUGUUCACAGCAGCUGCCCAGGGAUUGCAGCACAGCUGGGGACCUUGGUUAAUCUCUGCAGCUUCUGUAGCCCAGGUCUCACCCCACUCUUUUACUGUAGGUCUGGUAUCAUGCUUACACUAACUUCUUUAAAAACCAUGCCAGCAUCUGGAUUUUCUCGUGGGAGGAUCAGAUCCUGGUGGCCAUUUGUUGGUUUAAAAGGCCAGCCCUGGCAGCCCUUGAGGCCAGCUCUGCAAGGAAGCAAAGGCCUGGUGGUGAGGAGACCAAUGCCAGGGCCAGACAGUUUCACUCUAUACAAGACGCUUUGCUACAUCUGCUUUAUUUCAUAUUUCACUUCUAGCUGCUUUUCUUUUGCUUUUUAACACAGUGAGCUCUUCCCAGAGCUCUUCUUUGAGAUUGCUGUGGAUGCUUAACACACCUGUGAUUUCAGGGACACCAGUUUCUGAGGUGUGCUUCUCUAGGAAAAGAGACUUGCAGCAAUAAUAUUGGUGUUUAUUUUCUACAGUGUUGAUAGACCCUAGUGUUCCCUUUCUUUCUGGCAUCUAGUUAUUCCAGCGUAUUUUAGUGGUAUCAAUUCCCAACAGUAAGCAAUGUAAAGGGGUAACCUUUGUUUCUCUGGGAAUAAUGAGACAAAGACAUGGAUUGCUCUCUUUCUGCACAGACCGCAAGUGACAGCCUUGCUAACGUGCUUCCAGGUAAUUACUUGUGCAGUUUAGAUAAUUUUGGUAGAUACUUAUGCAAUGUAUUUGAUUUUACUCACUGUUUUGCUGUGGAAGGGCACAGGAAAUGUUUACCAGGCAGGCAUGCCUAGGUUGCUCUCUCAUUUCUUUUUCUUAUCAGCAAAACAUAAACCCACAGCUUGAUGACAAUGAAACCAUAUGUUUCCUCUUUUUGGCAAAUCAGUUUUGCAAUACAGAUAAUCCUGGCCGUACAUGAGAAGAGAUAUUUUGAAUUAUUUUAAUUUUUACAUUACUCACUAUUUUUGCCUGCCUAGAAAUUAUGUAUGUGUUUAUUUCUGAACCCAGAGGUUGGGUGAAUUAAGAGUUUAGGGAGAACACUAUGCUUUAGUGUCUGUCUUACUUUGAGGACAGUUAUUUGUCAUAUGCAAUAACCUGUUUGUUGUAG